ensembl:snRNA U6 U6 spliceosomal RNA
GUGCUCACUUUGGUAGCACAUAUACUAAAAUUGGAAUGAUACAGGGGAGAUUAGCACGGCCCCGAGCUAGGAUGACACAUAAAUUAGUGAACAAAGCUGGUUAGGA